CCUACGGGAGGCAGCAGUGGGGAAUAUUGGACAAUGGGCGCAAGCCUGAUCCAGCCAUGCCGCGUGAGCGAUGAAGGCCUUAGGGUUGUAAGCCUCUUUUUUCCGGGAGGUUAUGGCGGGUCCGGGAGGAUAAGGCCCGGCUAACUUCGGGCCCGCAGCCGCCGGAAUACGAAGGGGGGUAGCGUUGCUCGGAAUCCCUGGGCGUAAAGGGCGCGUAGGCGGCGUUUUAAGUCGGGGGUGAAAGCCUGUGGCUCAACCACAGAAUGGCCUUCGAUACUGGGACGCUUGAGUAUGGUAGAGGUUGGUGGAACUGCGAGUGUAGAGGUGAAAUUCGUAGAUAUUCGCAAGAACACCGGUGGCGAAGGCGGCCAACUGGACCAUUACUGACGCUGAGGCACGAAAGCGUGGGGAGCGAACAGGAUUAGAUACCCUAGUAGUC
rnacentral:rRNA from 1 species